AUGGUGAUCUAUUAUUUAGAUGGGUGUACUUCAGUGCUCCUAUUUCUCACAUGUCUUACAAGUUAUUGCUGCAAUAUGUGGAAUAUAGAGCGGUACUGGUAAUCUGUGAUGUGACUGAUGCAAACUAAAAAACUCACUGCAAUACAAGUAUUCUUUUUUAAUUGUCUGAUGGGAAAAUAGGUAAAUAGCUUGUGAGCAGACAUGGAUACACCGAGCCAAAUUAUUUAUGCUAGAUAGGUUUGUGUAUUUUUUUUAUAAUAGUUUAAUUCAAGCUUUGCCUGUUGUACUUUGUUUUACCUGUUAUACUUUGGUUAGCAGAUAAAAUUUGAUGCUGUCCCCUUAAGAUUAAACGGAUGCGUCACACUAUCAGACGAAAUGCGUGUUACAUCAAACAAAAUCCAUGAUCGAGCUACCUUGGACCCUAUUGCUUCAAGCACUAUCUAAGAAAGGCAUAUGAUCCAGACUCAGAUUCAAGCUGCAUUGAGGGUUAUGCUUGAGACAUGGAUGAUGGCUACAACCACUAUGUGCGACCGUAGGCUGCGGCGGAGACAGGCCCCAGGCAGCCCGAGCGGAUGCCUGGGGCAUGAGGCUGAUUCCCUUCGUAUACUGUAGAGAACACUGUAGCUACAGUGUUGCAGUGCUUCCUAGGUCGGCCGGGGGCGUGGCUGAAUCCUGGCGCCGCCACUGACCAUAGGCAUGCCUGCUUAGACGAUGAAAUUAUGUUCAAUACUGCUGGGAUAUGUAACGAUGACUCAACUUAAUACCACCACCUUCUCGCGUCUUGGUCCUUGCUGCAAGCAAGACAAUGCAUCUCUGGCCUUUGCUAAUAUAGCUUACUUUUAUAAAGCCAAUGUAUGCCAUUAUCAAGUGAUAUGAAUAUCUUCUUUUAAGCUACCAAGUGCCAUGUAAUGGAACAUAAACAUCUAUUAAGUUAGUUCUAAAUCAAUCUCAUAUGCAUUGUUUGAA